rnacentral:rRNA from 1 species
AUGUUCUUGUCGCAAUCGGCGAGUCGCAUCAACAACAUCCGCACCUUCCUCAUCAAUGUGUAUAAGGGAAACCUCUCGGUGGCCUCCUACUUCGCCGCCAUGCAUGGCUAUGCCGAUGAGCUGGCCGCGGCGGGCAAGCCGAUCCAGGACGAUGAGCUCAUCUCGUACAUCAUCCAUGGGUUGGAGGCGGACUAUCAACCUAUGGUGUCGGCUCUCGACGCCCGAGUCACUCCUGUGACCCUCGACGAGCUCUUCGCCAUGCUGUCCAACUUCGACCAGCGCAUGGCCCAAUUCCAAGGAUCCGGCAGCUUCAAAUCGUCUGCAAACAUGGCGUCGCACGGUCGGGGUGGCGGAUCCCGGUCGCGUGGCCCUCCUCGCUACAAGGGGGCGAUCUGGCGGCGGCAGCAAUGA